rnacentral:lncRNA from 1 species
CGUGAUCGAGGCGGUAGCUGGUGGAAUUAUCUGAGGAAACAAUGCCUCACACUCAUUCAAUUUUUUGUAUUGCUCGAAAAGAACAACUUGUCAACAACCAAAAAAAUUAUGAAUUGAACUCAUAAAGAAGUUCACGUAUAUGUUAUAUAAGACCAGUUUUUUGACGCGUGCUUCACACGUGCAUGUCAAAUCAUGUAAUAUAUACUUUUAUAAAUAAUUUUAGCUCAUUUGUUUUAACUGCUGAAGGAGAUGGUAAUAGGGUACCCACAUUGGUACCCUCGUCGCUGCCGCUGCUGUAUUCUUUGUCAAUUGAUAUUCUCGUAUUUGCUGUUGUUGGAGAUGGUAGUACGCUACCUGCAUUGGGUAUCCCGCCGCCACCAUCUUUGCUGCAUUCACGACAUUCUCUGCUGAUCAUUUCGAUUUAUUAUCCAUUGUGCUUAGGCGAUAAUUUCUAUGUUUGCAACCAUAGAGUGAGAAAAUGGAAAAAGAGUAGCCCAGUUGUGUUGUACGCUCUUACUAUUUGUACAAACUAAAUUUGUACUUAUUACCGUAUAAACAGGGAGAGUGAGGCCAACACAUCAGGACGAAACCUCAUUUCUAGUCCGUAACCUCAUUUCUCUAUAAGUGGUAGCUGGUGAUUAACUCUUUUUUUUUUUUGAUAAAUUACUUUUUUUCUUUUCCUUUAUUGGGUUAAUUUUUAUUUACUAUUUUCUUUAUUUUUAUUUUUAUUUUUUUUCUUUUCUUCAAUUAUUUUUUUCUCGUGUUACAUACUCCAU